rnacentral:rRNA from 1 species
AGUGAACGCUGGCGGUAGGCCUAACACAUGCAAGUCGAACGGCAGCACAGUAAGAGCUUGCUCUUACGGGUGGCGAGUGGCGGACGGGUGAGGAAUACAUCGGAAUCUACUUUUUCGUGGGGGAUAACGUAGGGAAACUUACGCUAAUACCGCAUACGACCUACGGGUGAAAGCAGGGGAUCUUCGGACCUUGCGCGAUUGAAUGAGCCGAUGUCGGAUUAGCUAGUUGGCGGGGUAAAGGCCCACCAAGGCGACGAUCCGUAGCUGGUCUGAGAGGAUGAUCAGCCACACUGGAACUGAGACACGGUCCAGACUCCUACGGGAGGCAGCAGUGGGGAAUAUUGGACAAUGGGCGCAAGCCUGAUCCGGCCAUACCGCGUGGGUGAAGAAGGCCUUCGGGUUGUAAAGCCCUUUUGUUGGGAAAGAAAAGCAGCAGGUUAAUACCCCGCUGUUCUGACGGUACCAAAAGAAUAAGCACCGGCUAACUUCGUG